rnacentral:rRNA from 1 species
AAACGGUGGAUGCCUUGGCAUCUGGAGCCGAAGAAGGACGUAGCAAUCUGCGAUAAGCCUCGGGGAGUGGAUAAGCACACUUUGAUCCGAGGAUCUCCGAAUGGGGAAACCCCGCUGGGCGGCUUGCCGACCCAGUGACUCCCGCCUGAAUAUAUAGGGCGGGUAGAGGGAACGUGGGGAAGUGAAACAUCUCAGUACCCACAGGAAGAGAAAACAAACAGUGAUUCCGUGAGUAGUGGCGAGCGAAAGCGGAUGAGGCUAAACCGUGUCUGUGUGAUACCUGGUAGGGGUUGCAGGUGCGGGGUUGUGGGAGUUCACCGGAGCCGGCUACCGACGGUUCGAGGAGUAAGAAAGUCGUGCUGUAGUCGAAGGGCCUGGGAUGGUCCGGCGUAGUGGGUGAGACCCCCGUAGACGAAACAGUGUGGCCUCCUUGGGUGGGUGUCCCGAGUAGCACGGGGCUCGUGAAAUCUCGUGUGAAUCUGCCAGGACCACCUGGUAAGCCUAAAUACUUCCUGAUGACCGAUAGCGGACAAGUACCGUGAGGGAAUGGUGAAAAGCACCCCGGGAGGGGAGUGAAAUAGUACCUGAAACCGUGUGCCUACAAUCCGUCGGAGCAGGCUUGUACCUGUGACGGCGUGCCUUUUGAAGAAUGAGCCUGCGAGUUAGUGGUGUGUGGCGAGGUUAACCCGGGUGGGGAAGCCGUAGCGAAAGCGAGUCCGAAUAGGGCGUUUGAGUCGCAUGCUCUAGACCCGAAGCGGAGUGAUCUACCCAUGGCCAGGUUGAAGCGCGGGUAAGACCGCGUGGAGGACCGAACCCACCAGGGUUAAAAACCUGGGGGAUGAGCUGUGGGUAGGGGUGAAAGGCCAAUCAAACUUCGUGAUAGCUGGUUCUCUCCGAAAUGCAUUUAGGUGCAGCGUUGCGUGUUUCUUGCCGGAGGUAGAGCUACUGGAUGGCUAAUGGGCCCCACCGGGUUACUGACGUCAGCCAAACUCCGAAUGCCGGUAAGUGAGAGCGCAGCAGUGAGACUGUGGGGGAUAAGCUUCAUAGUCGAGAGGGAAACAACCCAGACCACCAACUAAGGUCCCAAAGACUACACUAAGUGGAAAACGUUGUGGGAGUGCAUAGACAGC